UUGAAACUCUGGGGCGAAGGCACUGUGGCCUGGUGGAGGUGGCGCCAGCUGCUGCUGGACCUCCUCAGUCUCCUGGUCGAUGGCGCGAGUGAAGGCAGCUAUCUGCAGGAACUGAGGUUUGAGGAGAUCAAGUGGCCUGUCCAUCAUCACGCAGUAAGAGAAAGGGGCUUGUGCAAGCAGUCACUGAAAGGUGAUGUUAUUCUAUGAAGAAAAGCUCCCUCAUCAGUGAAGAUGAACUGCACUUCUUUCUAAAGAGGCAAUGUCAGACGGGCACGGUGGCCUAUAAUCCUAGCACUUUGGGAGGCCGAGGAGGGUGGAUCACCUGAGGUCAGGAGUUCGAGACCAACCUGGCCAACAUGGUAAAACCCUGUCUCUACUUAAAAUACAAAAAUUAGCCGGGCAUGGUGGCACAUGCCUGUAAUCCUAGCUACAUGGGAGGCUGAGGCAGAAGAAUCGCUUGAACCUGAGAGGCAGAGGUUGCAGUGAGCUAAGAUUGUACCACUGCACUCCAGGCUGGGUGACAGAGUGAGACUCUGUCUCAAAAAAAAACAAAACAAAACGAAAC
rnacentral:lncRNA from 1 species